UCUAGACUGAUGGAUGCCAAUGAUGACAGGCAGUAGGUGCUGAGUACACAAGGCUGGACUAUGGAGUCACCGAGCCACCAGCCCUGGCUUUUCAGAUUGCCUCUUGUCUGGCACCUUACCUCCACCCUACUUGCCAAGAAUGACCAAGGAGAAACAUACUCAUUGUCUUGCUACAUAAGAUUUGAGGAGGCUGGCCGGUGGUGACAGACGAAUCCUAUGCUGACUGA